UCCCUGGUGGCUCAGAUGGUAAACAACCUGCUUGCAAUGCAGGAGACCCAGGUUCGAUCCCUGGAUCGGGAA
rnacentral:tRNA from 1 species